rnacentral:rRNA from 1 species
GUCGAACGAUGAACUGGAGCUUGCUCCAGGGAUUAGUGGCGAACGGGAGAGUAACACGUGAGUAACCUGCCCUUGACUCUGGGAUAAGCGCUGGAAACGGCGUCUAAUACCGGAUACGAGCUUCAGCCGCAUGGCUAGGAGUUGGAAAGAAUUUCGGUCAAGGAUGGACUCGCGGCCUAUCAGCUAGUUGGUGAGGUAAUGGCUCACCAAGGCGACGACGGGUAGCCGGCCUGAGAGGGUGACCGGCCACACUGGGACUGAGACACGGCCCAGACUCCUACGGGAGGCAGCAGUGGGGAAUAUUGCACAAUGGGCGCAAGCCUGAUGCAGCAACGCCGCGUGAGGGAUGACGGCCUUCGGGUUGUAAACCUCUUUUAGUAGGGAAGAAGCGAAAGUGACGGUACCUGCAGAAAAAGCACCGGCUAACUACGUGCCAGCAGCCGCGGUAAUACGUAGGGUGCAAGCGUUGUCCGGAAUUAUUGGGCGUAAAGAGCUCGUAGGCGGUUUGUCGCGUCUGCUGUGAAAUCU